CACAGUUUAACAUGAUGGACUAUAGGACAGGACUGCUGCUGUUAACUAUCUGCUUUGCAGGUGUUUGCAGUCAGACUCUGACUGAGUCUGAACCAGUGGUAAAGCGCCCUGGAGAAUCCCACAAACUCACCUGUACGUAUGCAGGAAUAUCAGAUAGUAGCGCAGAUAUCAGCUGGAUCAGACAAGCCGAAGGAAAAGGACUGGAGUGGGUUGCCUUCAUUUCUGCUCCGAGUGGAGCAACUAAAGCUUAUUCCACAUCAGUCCAGAACCGCUUCACCAUUUCCAGAGACAACAACGUGGACCAGGUGUAUCUGCAGAUGAGCAGCCUGACAACUGAAGACGCUGCUGUUUAUUAUUGUGCCAGAGCGCCACAGUGA